rnacentral:lncRNA from 1 species
AAAUGACCAUUAAGAAGUAGAUGCCCAGAUGCAAAAGUGAUGAAACAGUCAAUUUGUCAUAAAGUAAGAUGCAGCUGUGGCUUUUCAACCAGAUUAGGACAAAAUUGUAUCUAUUUUUCUCAGAAGAGAAUUCCACAAGGCUCCUGUUGUUGCAGGAAGGCAGACCCCUUAAAGGGCCCAAAACUGGGCUCUUGUCUAACACUCGGAAAUGAAUUGUCUGAGGAAACACAUGUGCUGACAAAGCAAGAGACUUUAUUGGGAAAGGGCACCCGGGCGGAGAGCAGGGUAAGGAAACCCAGGAGAACUGCUCUGCCGUGUGGCUUGCAAUGUCGGGUUUUAUGAUGAUGGGAUUAGUUUCCAAGUGCUCUUUGACCAAUCAUUCUAAUUCAGAGUCUUUCCUGGUGGUGCACGCAUCGCUCAGCCAAGAUGGAUGCUAGUGAGAGGGAUUCUGGGAAGUAGACGGACACACAGUGUCUCCUUUAGACCUUUCUCGAACUCUUCCGGUUGGUGGUGGCUUAUUAGUUCUGUAUUCCUUAUCAGGAUCUCCUGUCAUAAAACAACUCAUGCAAAUGGUUACUAUGGUACCUGGCCAGGGUGGGCGGUUUCAAUCACUGUGCUUCCCCUAACACUGUGAUACCUUAUUAUUGGUGAUUUUCUUCCUGCUUCUUAGUGCCUGUUCAAUCUCUUUUGUGGGCUUCUCUUUCUCUGUAGUUUCCUUAAAUGUUGGUGUUUCUGAGUUUCUCUCGGUCUUACUUUUCUUCUCACUGGGGCAAUCUCAUUUUGUCCUCUGCCAUGCAUCCAUAAGCUGAUGACUCUUAGAUCCUUAUCUCCAGUUUAGCUCUUUCUUCUGCCUCUGUACUUGUAUUUGUUUGUUUUUUGAGCAUUUCCACUUGGAUAUAUAGGCAUUACAAUAUGUUCAAAAUUGAGCUAUCUGCUUCUCUAAACCUUGUGUCAUUGCUGUGUUUUCUAGCUGUUUGAAUGGAUGUUAACUAAGUGGAAAUGUAGGUAUUCUCCUUGACUCCUGCUUUUCUUCCCAAUCUAGUUGGUUAGCAAGUAUUGUUGAUGCUUACUUCUGAGUAUUGCUCCAAUCCAUCCUUCUUUCUCCAUCUUCAUUGUUCGCUACUCUAAUUUAGACUCCAGAUUUCUGCAGCAGCCUCUAAACCUGUAAAAAUCAUAUGAGUUAGGCAGUGGUGGUGUUUUUAACUUGCCUGUGGGGAAACAUAGAUUCAGAGAUGUUAAGUAAGAACUCAGCUCUUUCUAAUUCUAAGGCUCAUAUUUGCACUAUGUCAUAGCAUUACCAUAGAUUGAUACUGCCUUCUAAUGGAGGAAUUUAGAAUGCUUGAAAUGAAGCAUUAUUUCAGAUUAUAAUGUGGUAUUUCAAAAUACAUUCAGAAAGCAGACCUGGUGUGGGUCAUUUAUUCAUUAUAUGAGGAUUAAAAUUCUUGCCUUAGAAACAGUUUAUUUUUUUUUAAGCAGGGUUAAUAGUUUCAGAGAAUUCAAAUUUAGAAUUUGCAUACAGAAAAUUAAAAAUUUUAAGGCUCUAACAAGAAUAUUUUAUGAGACUGAUAUUCUUGGGGUGGGGGUUUGGUUUCUUCGUGUUUUGUUUAAGAGAAUUUAAGGUAGAUAACUUCAGCCAGUACUAGUGAAGAAGCAUUUUGAAACUGUGACAGAGGAAAACAUCUUAGAAAUUCUGACUGUUUUCCAUAGAGAUUUGUUUCUCCUCAUUUGUCUUUUUUAAAAAAGAAAGGAGUUGUUCUAGCCAUUGCUUUCAAAUUCUGUUUUAUCGUAAGUUGUGCUCAGAGGGAAUAGCCCCAGUGACCUUAGCUAUAGUUUCGAAUACACCUCUUCAGAAUUCUCUUUAUCACAGAUGAUUGAUAUUCUGAGUUUAAGAUCAAGAUAAAUCUGAAGCAAAAAACUCCACCAAACCUAUAGGGAGAGAGUGCAUAUUGUCUUUGUUAAAGUUGUAGACAGGGACACUAAAAAUUCUAAAUUUGUCUUUCAAAAAUCUUGAUUGAUUUUUUUUUUUCCCCUUAUGUUUCCCAUUUGAAGAUGGAAAAGAUAGUUACCAACAGUCUGCAAUACAAGAUUGUUCUCUGGACAAAUGUUAUCAUGGCUCAAAAGAAUAUUGGGUAUUGGACACUGAAAUCCUGUUGUAUAUUCUAAAUUGCCUCAGUCAUGUUCCAUUCUUUACAACCACAUGGACUGUAGCCCACCAGGCUCCUCUGUCAAUGGGAUUCUCUAGGCAAGAAUACUGGAGUGGGUUGCCAUGCCCUCCUCCAGAAAUCUUCCUGUCCCAGGGAUUGAGCCCACAUCUCUUACAUCUCCUGCAUUGGCAGCCAGGUUCUUUACCACUAGCGCCAUCUUGGAAGCCCCCAAAAUCCUGUUACUUGAUUUUAACUAUGUCUGGUUUAUAGGAAGGCAUAAAGAAAAAGAUAUUUUAAACAUCCUUUCAUUAGUGUUAGUUGAUAGUCUUCAUUGAUUGUGUGGUAUUUCAUUGAUUCCAAGGGACAUUUUCCAGUUUUAUUCACUGAAAUUUGGGUGUAUCUUACAACCAGUGGCAUGCUGUAGUUUGACACCUUCUGUUUCUUGGUGGGAUACAAAAUAGCAGUCUUAAAAUCAGUUGUGUCUCGGUUUUGAUGAAAAUGGUAUAUAUCUUUGUUGGUAUUAGAAGUAAUAACAGUGAUAAUAUUUGCAGUCACCAUUCCUGAAGAUCACUUUUUUGGUAACCUCUACUUUCUUAAACAUGACCAAGAAUUGGAACGUAAGCAGAAGAGUCUUCUGAUGCUUAGAAUUGCCAUUAAGAAGCUUGUGAAGUGAUGACUAUGUUCUUGAACAUAAAAUGUGUGGUCUCUGAGUAGAGGGCCUUUUUUUGUGCCUGUUCCUAAUAGGCACGGGUGUCUGAUUACAGAGUCUAGGAUUUGAAAGAAUAAACUUAACAAAGAAAUGUGUAUACGUGUUUAUUAAGUGACAGCUCUAGGACAUGCUAACUAUCAACUGAGAGUGAAGGUGCCCAUAAAUAAAGAAUUAAAAUCUGUUUUUAAAAAACAACCCCAAACCUAGACAGAAAGCCUGACACACACAAAUUGCCCCGAUUAUAGCUUUAAAGAGGUUCUUUAUCAAAAUUCAGUCUAUUUGAUUCCACUGGCACUUCCCUUUAAGGGACAGAUGUAUUUUGAUUGUUGUUUAAACAUUUAAACAUUUGUUGUUGAUUAAAAUUUCCCCUCUUAUGGCUGAAUGAGAUUGUCAGAAUAUAUUUUACUCUGAAGAUAUUGAAAAUUUUUGUGGUACUCGCCUCUCAGACUUCCAAAAUAGGAUUUGAUUCUGCUAUCUUGAUGGUCUCUGUCCAUGUUGCUGAAUAGCGUCAGAGUACCAUUUUUAGAUCUUUGGGCUAAAGACUGGUCAUAGAUUGUUGGAAGGUCUUAGGAAAGAAUAAGUAGAAAAAUAUAGAGAACACACUGUCAUCCUGAAGUAUUUCUAGAAGUUCUCACUGGGAAGUUGUGCAUGUCCAACUACAUUUUUGUUUGGAAUAAAUCCAGGGUAUAUAUCCUAUAAAUUCCUGGUAUUAGGGGUUCUUUUGUGACACUCCCCUGAGACAUGAAUUCUGAGCAUAACAUUGCUUACUGUGAGCACCUUUGGCCUAAGAGUAGAUGUUAAGCUCUGUGGAUUGGCAGGUUUCCAGCAUUUACUAAUUAGGUAUUGCCUACUUAGAUUCUCCUGGCAAUCUUUCUUGCCACUGUUUAUUCACACUCUGCCCUGACCUGUUUCGUAUAUCUUCUGCCUUUGGGCUCUGCUUAGACAUUUGUAGCUUUUCUUUCUGAAGGAGCCUUUAAUAAGGUAUUGGUUUAUAUAUUUUUUAGUUAACUAUUUAUUGUUAAUUAUAAAAGCAGUUCACAUACUAUAGAAAAUAUGAAGAGAAAAAUGCUUUUCAUCUUACUACUGAGUGAGCCAGUGUUAACAUUUUAAUGUCUUUAGUCUGGUCUUUUUCCCCCUAGGUUUAUGUAUUUUGUUUAGGGGUGAUGGAGAGAAAAGUAAGUGUAAGUGUUAUUUUUUAAAAUGAGAAUCCUCUCAAACUUACUACUGGGCGUGCAAGGUGAUUUUUAAAAUAAAGCUUUUUUUUUUUAGAACAAUUUUAGAAUCACAAAAAAGUUGCAAAGAUAGUACAGUGAUUCUCAUAUAUCUUUUACUCAGUUUUACCUAAUGUUAAUCUUAUAUAACUUAGGUAUACUUGUCAAAACUAAGGAAUUAACACUGGUAUAAAACUAUAAACUACAGACUUUAUUUGGAUUUUUCCAGUUUUCUACUAAUGUCCUUCUCUAUUCCAAGAUUCAGUCCAGAACACCAUAUUGCAUUUUAAAAGAAAGAUUUUCUUUUUUAUUUUUGAAGAUAUUGCUUGGGGUGGUGCACGGGGAUGAUCCAGAGGGAUGAUGUGGGGUGGGAGGUGGGAGGGGGGUUCAUGUUUGGGAGCUCAUGUAGACCCGUGGUGGAUUCAUGUCAAUGUAUGCCAAAACCAAUACAGUAUUGUAAAGUAAAAUAAAGUAAAAAUAAAAAUUUAAAAUAAAUAAAUAAAUAAAAGUUUAAAAAAAAGUAUAAAUUAUCAAGCCUAUUUCUUUAGAUAAUUUGUUUGGACUGAGACAGACACAGAAAGUCAUGAGUGACCUAUUUAUGAAGCAGUUUGUUUUGAGGCGUUUUUUUUUUUUUUACAGUUGCUUGGCAUUUGGUUCAAUAUAUUUUGAGCAAAUUGAAUAUGUGUGUAUGCUUUACAUACAUGCAAUCAAUAUUUAGAUUUUUAAUAAGUCUAGUAACUAGUAUGAUA